AAUAGGAGAUACCUCCAAAGCUCCCACUUAUUAUGAUCGUUCGUCUUAUUUGAAAAAAAUUAAGAUUAGUAUUUUUUUCUUAUUAGAUGAUAAAAUAUGAAUAAUAUUUUAUGUAUGACUAAUUUUUUUAUUUUUUUAUAAAUUUUUUAAAUAAGAUGAAUGGUUAAACAUUCGAUACGAAACCCAUGACUGUACUUAUU
rnacentral:pre_miRNA from 1 species